AGCUAAUAGAUACCCUGGUAGUCCACGCCCUAAACGAUGUCUACUAGUUGUUGGUGGAGUAAAAUCCAUGAGUAAACGCAGCUAACGCGUGAAGUAGACCGCCUGGGGAGUACGGUCGCAAGAUUAAAACUCAAAGGAAUUGACGGGGGGCCCGCACAAGCGGUGGAUUAUGUGGAUUAAUUCGAUGCAACGCGAAAAACCUUACCUGGCCUUGACAUGCCACUAACGAAGCAGAGAUGCAUUAGGUGCCCGUAAGGGAAAGUGGACACAGGUGCUGCAUGGCUGUCGUCAGCUCGUGUCGUGAGAUGUUGGGUUAAGUCCCGCAACGAGCGCAACCCUUGCCAUUAAUUGCCAUCAUUUAGUUGGGCACUUUAAUGGGACUGCCGGUGACAAACCGGAGGAAGGUGGGGAUGACGUCAAGUCCUCAUGGCCCUUAUGGCCAGGGCUUCACACGUAAUACAAUGGUCGGUACAGAGAGUUGCCAACCCGCGAGGGGAGCUAAUCUCAGAAAGCCGAUCGUAGUCCGGAUUGUUCUCU
rnacentral:rRNA from 1 species